UCGACGUGUACCACUCGCGUUCUUAGUGCUUCGUACGCGUUAAUUGUUGACGAAAGGUUACCGUUCGACGCUUGCCUCCAGACAUUCCCACUUAAAUAAAUCUCGUGACAAAUCUAUCUGUUUUAUCGCGAAACUAGCGAGCGCGCACGUGCAAACCACGCUGCAUAGUCUCGCGGAAUUGGUUACAGUUUCGAGAUCGCGGAAAGUAUCUCUGGAAAAUCGAAAUUACGAAAUCCGAGAAGCAAACACGGCCGAAGGCCGGUUUCGCCAGAUCGGAGGACGAUAGCGCUGCCGCUAUGUGCGAACCUUCGCGCCUUAUAAGUUAUGCAAUAUCGGCUUAAUCAAGCUAUAGAUUAUACUGAAUAAUUUCCAUUUUGAGUUCGAACAUUCUAGCUCGAUACAUUUUUUCGUGCGAUUUGCAAAACGUGUUUUGAAAAAUAGGCUGAGGUAAAAGAUCGAGAGAAAACGAGCAAGGGACUCGUGAGUCGUAGGAGGAAAGAGAAGAGAGGAGGAAUGAAGAGAACGGAGAGGUGGGGCGAAAGUAAGCGGAUAUUAUAAAAGGAGAAAGGCAACGAUGUUUAAACGCGAAAGACGUACUUUCGCUUACAGAUAACACGAGAAAACAAAAUCAUUGAUAUACAAAUCGUUGUGCGAUUUCGAGAAAGGGAGAUUUAGAUGGGAGGUGUCGGUGAUGAGAGCGUCAAGUCAGAACGCUGUCGCUAAAUCAACGUUUCUCUCGAAAUGUAACGCAGACCCGAUAUAUUUACACCAAAUAUGUCGUGAGUUGACAUCAGUUACAGUCCAGAAAGCGAUACCUCGUUCGAACGCCACGCACGUUAGUACACCAGUGUCAAAACAUUUAAGGGCUUGCCUUUUCCCUUCCUAUUUUCGUAUCUCUUAGAAUAAAUUUACCUGUUUCCCAGAGUAUCUUUUUUUUUUUUUUUUUUUUUUUUUUUUUUAAGUACUACUAACACGCCAUUCGCUGAAAAUGUAUACCACGUACUAUGUUGAGACAAAAAUAAUUUGGGAAUUAGUCGAUAACUCUGAGAAUUACAAAGAAAAUCUCUUUCGAGACAGCAAUUACAUAUUUCGAUCGAUCGAUUAAACGUGCGAUUGCCAAUCAUUGUAAGUACAUAAGGCGACUUAAUUCGUAUUAGCUCGAGCGCUGUUCUUCUCGUAAUCGUUGAGCGAAUUCACAUCGUGAAUAACCCAAAAUUACAUGUACAUAUGUUUGUUCGGUACCACUUACUUCGAGUCAUCGACGAGCUCGCUGUUUUCCCAUUUCUUCAAAAGGUUGUGUUUUCACCACCGAACCGCGUAUCACGCAUCAUUUACCGAUACCAGACAAAUUUCUUUAAUCGCAACACGCUUGAAUCUGUGUGUGGAGAGAUUUUAGCGGAGACUGCGAUCCCUAACUUUUCGCGCACGCGCGUCAACGUGUACUUUGUUAUCUUCGUAUACGAAUUUUUCACCGGUACCCUUGUGCUGAUUUAUUCUUCGGACUGCUUGGUAGAUAAAAAUUGAACGCGGCAGCUGAAAAUUGCGGCCAGCAGCGUGCGUGCAAGUAGAAAUCGUACCGGUGGAAUGCACCGGUGGUUCGGACGCUAGCUAAAGUCUCACUGGCGAGACUGGCACCGUUGCGUUGCGUUGGUUCGUUUCACUCAUCGUAGUCUUCCACUCGCUCGCUUUCGCGCGUUUAUUCCGAGUGUGGCGUAUGUUGGGCCGGGUCAGGCCGAGUCGACCAGGCCAGGCCAGGCCAGGGCAGGGCAGGGCAGGGCAGGGCAGGGCAGGGCAGGGCAGGGCAGGGUAGGGCCAGGCCAGGCCAGGGCAGGACCAGGCCGGCAAUCGCCGCCAUGUACCCAAA